UUUAUUGAGAGUUUGAUCCUGGCUCAGGACGAACGCUGGCGGCGUGCUUAACACAUGCAAGUCGAGCGAUGAAGCUCCUUCGGGAGUGGAUUAGCGGCGGACGGGUGAGUAACACGUGGGUAACCUGCCUCAUAGAGGGGAAUAGCCUUUCGAAAGGAAGAUUAAUACCGCAUAAGAUUGUAGUGCCGCAUGGCAUAGCAAUUAAAGGAGUAAUCCGCUAUGAGAUGGACCCGCGUCGCAUUAGCUAGUUGGUGAGGUAACGGCUCACCAAGGCGACGAUGCGUAGCCGACCUGAGAGGGUGAUCGGCCACAUUGGGACUGAGACACGGCCCAGACUCCUACGGGAGGCAGCAGUGGGGAAUAUUGCACAAUGGGGGAAACCCUGAUGCAGCAACGCCGCGUGAGUGAUGACGGUCUUCGGAUUGUAAAGCUCUGUCU
rnacentral:rRNA from 1 species